UACGUAGGGUGCAAGCGUUGUCCGGAAUUAUUGGGCGUAAAGAGCUCGUAGGCGGUUUGUCGCGUCUGCUGUGAAAACUCGGGGCUUAACUCCGGGCCUGCAGUGGUUACGGGCAGACUAGAGUGCGGUAGGGGAGACUGGAAUUCCUGGUGUAGCGGUGAAAUGCGCAGAUAUCAGGAGGAACACCGGUGGCGAAGGCGGCUCACUGGACCGGAACUGACGCUGAGGCGCGAAAGCUAGGGGAGCAAACAGG
rnacentral:rRNA from 1 species